rnacentral:ncRNA from 1 species
UGCACUAAAACUUCAUGGGAUUGUGCAGGCCCAAGAUGGGUGUUGACACAAUGUGAUUUCUACCUAGUGCUCUAAAAGUCAAAGUGAAGAAAUUCAAUGAAGCACAGAUAAAUGAUGGGAGUAACUAUAACUCUAUUAAGGUUGUCAAAUGCCUCAUCAUCUAAUUAGUGACAUGCAUGAAUGGAUGA